rnacentral:rRNA from 1 species
GAUGAACGCUGGCGGCGUGCCUAAUACAUGCAAGUCGAGCGAACAGAUGAGGAGCUUGCUCCUCUGACGUUAGCGGCGGACGGGUGAGUAACACGUGGAUAACCUACCUAUAAGACUGGGAUAACUUCGGGAAACCGGAGCUAAUACCGGAUAAUAUAUUGAACCGCAUGGUUCAAUAGUGAAAGACGGUUUUGCUGUCACUUAUAGAUGGAUCCGCGCCGCAUUAGCUAGUUGGUAAGGUAACGGCUUACCAAGGCAACGAUGCGUAGCCGACCUGAGAGGGUGAUCGGCCACACUGGAACUGAGACACGGUCCAGACUCCUACGGGAGGCAGCAGUAGGGAAUCUUCCGCAAUGGGCGAAAGCUUGACGGAGCAACGCCGCGUGAGUGAUGAAGGUCUUCGGAUCGUAAAACUCUGUUAUUAGGAAAGAACAAAUGUGUAAGUAACUAUGCACGUCUUGACGGUACCUAAUCAGAAAGCCACGGCUAACUACGUG